UACGGAGGGUGCAAGCGUUCUCCGGAUUCACUGGGUUUAAAGGGUGCGUAGGCGGGCAGGUAAGUCCGUGGUGAAAUCUCUGAGCUUAACUCAGAAACUGCCAUGGAUACUAUUUGUCUUGAAUAUUGUGGAGGUAAGCGGAAUAUGUCAUGUAGCGGUGAAAUGCUUAGAUAUGACAUAGAACACCAAUUGCGAAGGCAGCUUACUACACAGUUAUUGACGCUGAGGCACGGAAGCGUGGGGAUCAAACAGG
rnacentral:rRNA from 1 species